CGUUGGGAGCUCUCCCAUAUGGUCGACCUGCAGGCGGCCGCGAAUUCACUAGUGAUUCGUAUUACCGCGGCUGCUGGCACAGAGUUAGCCGGUGCUUAUUCUGCGGGUACCGUCAUAGCAACGAGUUAUUCGCUCGUUACCUUUCUUCCCCACCUAAAGUGCUUUACAACCCGAAGGCCUUCUUCACACACGCGGCAUCGCUGGAUCAGGGUUUCCCCCAUUGUCCAAGAUUCCCCACUGCUGCCUCCCGUAGGAGUCUGGGCCGUGUCUCAGUCCCAGUGUGGCUGGUCAUCCUCUCAGACCAGCUACGGAUCGUCGCCUUGGUAGGCUUUUACCCCACCAACUAGCUAAUCCGACGUAGGCUCACCCCAGAGCGCAAGGCCUUUCGGUCCCCUGCUUUUGAUCUCUCGAUAUCAUGUGGUAUUAGCCCGAGUUUCCUCGGGUUAUCCCACGCUCCAGGACAGAUUCCUACGUGUUACUCACCCGUCCGCCACUCGCCACCCCAUAAAGACCGAAAUCUUUACUGUGCUGCCGUUCGACUUGCAUGUGUUAGGCAUGCCGCCAGCGUUCAAUCUGAGCCAUGAUCAAACUCUAAUCGAAUUCCCGCGGCCGCC
rnacentral:rRNA from 1 species